rnacentral:SRP_RNA from 1 species
GCCGGGCGUGGUGGCGCGUGCCUGUAGUCCCAGCUACUUGGGAGGCUGAGGUGGGAGGAUCGCUUGAGCCCAGGAUUUCUGGGCUGUAGUGCACUAUGCCAAUCAGGUGUCCGCACUAAGUUCGGCAUCAUAUGGUGACCUCCUGGGAGCGUGGGACCACCAGGUUGCCUAAGGAGGGGUGAACCAGCCCAGGUCGGAAACGGAGCAGGUCAAAAUUCCUGUGCUGAUCAGUAGUGGGACUGUGCCUGUGAAUAGCCACUGCACCUCAGCCUGGGCAACAUAGUGAGACCCUGUUUCU